rnacentral:rRNA from 1 species
GGGUUGUGAGGUUAAGCGACUAAGCGUACACGGUGGAUGCCCUGGCAGUCAGAGGCGAUGAAGGACGUGCUAAUCUGCGAAAAGCGUCGGUAAGGUGAUAUGAACCGUUAUAACCGGCGAUGUCCGAAUGGGGAAACCCAGUGCAAUUCGUUGCACUAUCGUUAACUGAAUACAUAGGUUAACGAGGCGAACCGGGGGAACUGAAACAUCUAAGUACCCCGAGGAAAAGAAAUCAACCGAGAUUCCCCCAGUAGCGGCGAGCGAACGGGGAGCAGCCCAGAGUCUGAAUCAGCUUGUGUGUUAGUGGAACGGUCUGGAAAGUCCGACGGUACAGGGUGAUAGUCCCGUACACCAAAAUGCACAGGCUGUGAACUCGAAGAGUAGGGCGGGACACGUGGUAUCCUGUCUGAAUAUGGGGGGACCAUCCUCCAAGGCUAAAUACUCCUGACUGACCGAUAGUGAACCAGUACCGUGAGGGAAAGGCGAAAAGAACCCCGGCGAGGGGAGUGAAAAAGAACCUGAAACCGUGUACGUACAAGCAGUGGGAGCACCUUCGGGUGUGACUGCGUACCUUUUGUAUAAUGGGUCAGCGACUUAUAUUCUGUAGCAAGGUUAACCGUAUAGGGGAGCCGCAGGGAAACCGAGUCUUAACUGGGCGUUAAGUUGCAGGGUAUAGACCCGAAACCCGGUGAUCUAGCCAUGGGCAGGUUGAAGGUUGGGUAACACUAACUGGAGGACCGAACCGACUAAUGUUGAAAAAUUAGCGGAUGACUUGUGGCUGGGGGUGAAAGGCCAAUCAAACCGGGAGAUAGCUGGUUCUCCCCGAAAGCUAUUUAGGUAGCGCCUCGUGAACUCAUCUUCGGGGGUAGAGCACUGUUUCGGCUAGGGGGUCAUCCCGACUUACCAACCCGAUGCAAACUACGAAUACCGAAGAAUGUUAUCACGGGAGACACACGGCGGGUGCUAACGUCCGUCGUGAAGAGGGAAACAACCCAGACCGCCAGCUAAGGUCCCAAAGUCAUGGUUAAGUGGGAAACGAUGUGGGAAGGCACAGACAGCCAGGAUGUUGGCUUAGAAGCAGCCAUCAUUUAAAGAAAGCGUAAUAGCUCACUGGUCGAGUCGGCCUGCGCGGAAGAUGUAACGGGGCUAAACCAUGCACCGAAGCUGCGGCAGCGACACUAUGUGUUGUUGGGUAGGGGAGCGUUCUGUAAGCCUGCGAAGGUGUGCUGUGAGGCAUGCUGGAGGUAUCAGAAGUGCGAAUGCUGACAUAAGUAACGAUAAAGCGGGUGAAAAGCCCGCUCGCCGGAAGACCAAGGGUUCCUGUCCAACGUUAAUCGGGGCAGGGUGAGUCGACCCCUAAGGCGAGGCCGAAAGGCGUAGUCGAUGGGAAACAGGUUAAUAUUCCUGUACUUGGUGUUACUGCGAAGGGGGGACGGAGAAGGCUAUGUUAGCCGGGCGACGGUUGUCCCGGUUUAAGCAUGUAGGCUGGUUGUCCAGGCAAAUCCGGAUAAUCAAGGCUGAGGUGUGAUGACGAGGCACUACGGUGCUGAAGUAACAAAUGCCCUGCUUCCAGGAAAAGCCUCUAAGCAUCAGGUAACAUCAAAUCGUACCCCAAACCGACACAGGUGGUCAGGUAGAGAAUACCAAGGCGCUUGAGAGAACUCGGGUGAAGGAACUAGGCAAAAUGGUGCCGUAACUUCGGGAGAAGGCACGCUGGUGUGUAGGUGAAGUCCCUGCGGAUGGAGCUGAGACCAGUCGAAGAUACCAGCUGGCUGCAACUGUUUAUUAAAAACACAGCACUGUGCAAACACGAAAGUGGACGUAUACGGUGUGACGCCUGCCCGGUGCCGGAAGGUUAAUUGAUGGGGUUAUCCGUAAGGAGAAGCUCUUGAUCGAAGCCCCGGUAAACGGCGGCCGUAACUAUAACGGUCCUAAGGUAGCGAAAUUCCUUGUCGGGUAAGUUCCGACCUGCACGAAUGGCGUAAUGAUGGCCAGGCUGUCUCCACCCGAGACUCAGUGAAAUUGAACUCGCUGUGAAGAUGCAGUGUACCCGCGGCAAGACGGAAAGACCCCGUGAACCUUUACUAUAGCUUGACACUGAACAUUGAGCCUUGAUGUGUAGGAUAGGUGGGAGGCUUUGAAGCGUGGACGCCAGUCUGCGUGGAGCCAACCUUGAAAUACCACCCUUUAAUGUUUGAUGUUCUAACGUUGGCCCCUUACCGGGGUUGCGGACAGUGUCUGGUGGGUAGUUUGACUGGGGCGGUCUCCUCCCAAAGCGUAACGGAGGAGCACGAAGGUUAGCUAAUCCUGGUCGGACAUCAGGAGGUUAGUGCAAUGGCAUAAGCUAGCUUGACUGCGAGCGUGACGGCGCGAGCAGGUGCGAAAGCAGGUCAUAGUGAUCCGGUGGUUCUGAAUGGAAGGGCCAUCGCUCAACGGAUAAAAGGUACUCCGGGGAUAACAGGCUGAUACCGCCCAAGAGUUCAUAUCGACGGCGGUGUUUGGCACCUCGAUGUCGGCUCAUCACAUCCUGGGGCUGAAGUAGGUCCCAAGGGUAUGGCUGUUCGCCAUUUAAAGUGGUACGCGAGCUGGGUUUAGAACGUCGUGAGACAGUUCGGUCCCUAUCUGCCGUGGGCGCUGGAGAAUUGAGGGGGGCUGCUCCUAGUACGAGAGGACCGGAGUGGACGCAUCACUGGUGUUCGGGUUGUCAUGCCAAUGGCACUGCCCGGUAGCUAAAUGCGGAAGAGAUAAGUGCUGAAAGCAUCUAAGCACGAAACUUGCCCCGAGAUGAGUUCUCCCUGAGACUUUAAGUCUCCUGAAGGAACGUUGG